UAGGGAGUCUUCCACAAUGGACGCAAGUCUGAUGGAGCAACGCCGCGUGAGUGAAGAAGGGUUUCGGCUCGUAAAGCUCUGUUGUUAAAGAAGAACGUGGGUAAGAGUAACUGUUUACCCAGUGACGGUAUUUAACCAGAAAGCCACGGCUAACUACGUGCCAC
rnacentral:rRNA from 1 species